AACGAACGCUGGCGGCAGGCUUAACACAUGCAAGUCGAACGCAUCGCAAGAUGAGUGGCAGACGGGUGAGUAACGCGUGGGAACAUACCCUUUUCUACGGAAUAGCUCUGGGAAACUGGAAUUAAUACCGUAUACGCCCUACGGGGGAAAGAUUUAUCGGGGAAGGGUAGGCCCGCGUUGGAUUAGCUAGUUGGUGGGGUAAAGGCCUACCAAGGCGACGAUCCAUAGCUGGUCUGAGAGGAUGAUCAGCCACAUUGGGACUGAGACACGGCCCAAACUCCUACGGGAGGCAGCAGUGGGGAAUAUUGGACAAUGGGCGCAAGCCUGAUCCAGCCAUGCCGCGUGAGUGAUGAAGGCCUUAGGGUUGUAAAGCUCUUUCACCGAUGAAGAUAAUGACGGUAGUCGGAGAAGAAGCCCCGGCUAACUUCGUGCCAGCAGCCGCGGUAACAC
rnacentral:rRNA from 1 species